CUGGCGGCGUGCUUAACACAUGCAAGUCGAACGGUAAGGCCCUUCGGGGUACACGAGUGGCGAACGGGUGAGUAACACGUGGGUGAUCUGCCCUGCACUUCGGGAUAAGCCCGGGAAACUGGGUCUAAUACCGGAUAGUACUGCGCGGUGCAUGCCGUGUGGUGGAAAGAUUUAUCGGUGCAGGAUGGGCCCGCGGCCUAUCAGCUUGUUGGUGGGGUAAUGGCCUACCAAGGCGACGACGGGUAGCCGGCCUGAGAGGGCGACCGGCCACACUGGGACUGAGACACGGCCCAGACUCCUACGGGAGGCAGCAGUGGGGAAUAUUGCACAAUGGGCGCAAGCCUGAUGCAGCGACGCCGCGUGAGGGAUGACGGCCUUCGGGUUGUAAACCUCUUUCAGCAGGGACGAAGCGCAAGUGACGGUACCUGCAGAAGAAGCACCGGCCAACUACGUGCCAGCAGCCGCGGUAAUACGUAGGGUGCAAGCGUUGUCCGGAAUUACUGGGCGUAAAGAGCUCGUAGGCGGUUUGUCGCGUCGUCUGUGAAAACCAGCAGCUCAACUGUUGGCUUGCAGGCGAUACGGGCAGACUUGAGUAUUUCAGGGGAGACUGGAAUUCCUGGUGUAGCGGUGAAAUGCGCAGAUAUCAGGAGGAACACCGGUGGCGAANGCGGGUCUCUGGGAAAUAACUGACGCUGAGGGAAAGCNUNGGUAGCGNACAAGAUUAGAUACCCUGGUAGUNCACGCCGUAAACGGUGGGCGCUAGGUGUGGGUUUCCUUCCACGGGAUCCGUGCCGUAGCUAACGCAUUAAGCGCCCCGCCUGGGGAGUACGGCCGCAAGGCUAAAACUCAAAGGAAUUGACGGGGGGCCGCACAAGCGGCGGAGCAUGUGGAUUAAUUUUAUGCAACGCGAAGAACCUUACCUGGGUUUUACAUACACCGGAAAGCCGUAGAAAUACGGCCCCCCUUGUUGUCGGUGUACAGGUGGUGCAUGGCUGUCGUCAGCUCGUGUCGUNAGAUGUUGGGUUAAGUNCCGCAACGAGCGCAACCCUUGUCCUNUNUUGCCAGCGGAUNAUNCCGGGGACUCGCAGGANACUGCCGGGGUCAACUCGGAGGAAGGUGGGGNNGACGUCAAGUCAUCAUNCCCCUUAUNUCCANGGCUUCACACAUGCUACAAUGNCCGGUACANANGGCUGCGAUACCGUNAGGUGGAGNGAAUCCCUUAAANCCGGUCUCAGUUNGGAUCGGGGUCUGCAACUNGACCCCGUGAAGUAGGAGNNGCUAGUAAUNNCAGAUCAGCAACGNUGCGGUGAAUAAGUUNNCGGGCCUUGUUCACNCCGCCCGNCNNNUCAUCAAANUCGGUAACACCCNNAGCCGGUGGCCUAACCCCUUGUGGGUAGGGAGCCGUCCGAAGGUGGG
rnacentral:rRNA from 1 species